rnacentral:rRNA from 1 species
CAGCAGCCGCGGUAAUACGAAGGGUGCAAGCGUUACUCGAAAUUACUGGGCGUAAAGCGUGUGCAGGCGGUUAUAUAAGACAGGCGUGAAAUCCCCGAGCUUAACUUGGGAACUGCAUUUGAAACUGGCAAGCUAGAGUCUUGUAGAGGGGGGUAGAAUUCCAGGUGUAGCGGUGAAAUGCGUAGAGAUCUGGAGGAAUACCGGUGGCGAAGGCGGCCCCCUGGACAAAGACUGACGCUCAGGUGCGAAAGCGUGGGGAGCAAACAGGAUUAGAUACCCGCGUAGUCCCUGUCUCUUAUAC